rnacentral:misc_RNA from 1 species
AAUUACAAUGUCUUGCAAUCCCCCUUCAACAAAUCAACACAAUGUCAAGAACAUGCAAGAGAUGAAGCAUCAUGAACAUUGUCCAUACCAGGAUGGAUGAGAUGAAUUGCCAGAUUACACUCAUUAAAGUCUAGGUAAUACAACCUUGGAUGUGAAAGGAAGGGAUUCAACCUAAUGAGAUUUCUUUGGGUGGGGUGGGGCAGGCUGGGAGUAUGAGUCAGGUUAUACACGAAGAAGUGAAUUGCUUUUAUGCAGCUUCCCACCCAAAGAUUCUUUUCUCCCUUUCCAGGAACACUGUGAGUUAAAGGUGACCGAUUUCCCACAAGCACAAUAUAGUGAACUCAUUCAUUCUAAGAAAAUGAGAACACCUUACCGGCCCAUAGCUACAUGCUUUUACUCAAAAUGGUAAAGAAACCAAUAAUAAGCUACUCCCUUGAGGCAGCAGAAUAAUCUAUGAAGGAAAACGCAGCUAGUGAAACUGUAUAUUGGAUGGCAGCUAUCAACUGUUUAUAGGCAUAACAAAGAAGUCAUCUACUGAGCUAUAGGCCACUUCAUGUGAAUCUGAGAUCUUAACCAGACCAUACUUUGGCAAGUUAGUAGGUUUGCUUCUUCAUCUGAUAUUAUGGAACAAUAUGGAGAACCAAUUAAAGAUGAUGUUAAUAAUUAUUUUUUCAAUUCUUAAUAUGAAAACUCCAAUCUGCAAAUGGAUUUACAGUGCCUCCCUUUCCAGAUUCAGUUUAGGAAUGGUUAAUUUUAUUAUUUAGAAAAGGUUUAAUUGAAUUUUCUAAUAAGUUUAUACAAAAUGCAGUAGUACAUACUACAUAACAAUUUGAUAAUGAGGACAGAUAAAAUGAUCAUAUGAAAGAAUAUGAUCAGGCACAAUUCUCACCAAUAACCAGAAGCAAGAAGCUU